GAUGAAGAACGUAGCGAAAUGCGAUAAGUAAUGUGAAUUGCAGAAUUCAGUGAAUCAUCGAAUCUUUGAACGCACCUUGCGCCCUUUGGCCAUUCCGAAGGGCAUGCCUGUUUGAGUAUCAUGAACACCUCAACUCUUUAUGGUUUUCCAUGAUGAGCUUGGACUCUGGGGGUUUUGCUGGCUCACAGUCGGCUCCUCUAAAAUGAAUCAGCUUACCAGUGUUUGGUGGGUAUCAUGGGUGUGAUAACUAUCUACGCUUGUGGUUUUUCCACCAGGUAACCUUCAGCAGUGGAGGUUCGCUGGAGCUCAUAGAUGUCUCUCCUCAGUGAGGACAGCCCUUUGAAUGUUUGAUCUCAAAUCAGGUAGGACUACCCGCUGAACUUAAGCACAUCAAUAAGCGGAGGA
rnacentral:misc_RNA from 1 species